UAACCAGGCCGCAAAGGCUGUAGGGAGGCUGGGCUAUAGGCCCGUGGGCCGGAGAGGAGCGGGCUGAAACCGAGGAAGCUGUGGCUUAGCACUGAACGGAGCCGUCUGAAGUG
ensembl:miRNA